AGUGUUGCAGUUCCUUCCAAAUUAUAAGUCAUCGUCAGAAUCAGAUGGCCCUGUCUAUAUUACAGAAAUAACGGCAGUUGAAUACAUACACAGACAAAGUUACUAGUAUAUUCGUCAAAGUUUAAUGCGUAGUGCAUGUACUGAAUUAAUUAUUUAACAUGUGCACUAGAGGUUCUGAUGGUUCUCUGGAUGAUAGACUAGAAGAGAAGAAAGAAAUUAUCCUUCAACUUUGUAAAACGUUGUCCAAUGAAAAUCUUGUAAGAUGAAAUUAUAACGAACUGGUAACGCUGGUUUCAGACAGUUCAUCAGACCUGGUGCCUAAACACAGAGCAAGAGCGAUGUCUACACUUAUUUAGACUAUAUGGAUCAAUUUGCUCAGCAAAGAUAUAUUCUAAGAAUUACCUAAGGGGACUGUAUUUAUGACUGGACUGCAGUGGUUUAUUUUUGGUUACUUGUCAUGAUGGUAUACAGCUCCACUUCCAUCAACAGCACCUUUGAAUAAUCUCAUACUUUUCAAUAAUUUGGUCCGUUAUAAGAAGAUCGAUAAACCUUGUGCAGAUGCAGUAAUCAAGACAUUUUCGGUAUAUUUGUGGUACCUAACUGAAGAACGCGUAACAUUGGCAUUAUUUUGUGAUCAAGUUGGAAACGAUGUCAAAACAAAGAUGGCAUCAAAAUGACUGACUUUAGAACAAAUACUCUGCCUCAAGAUAUGGUAACCCGACAUUCCCACAGAUUCCAAAGGAUAUUGUAGAUUACCUAGAUUUAUAAAUAAUAAAGGAAUGUAGAAUGACAAAAAAAAAAAAAAAAAAAAGAAGAAGAUAAUCUUGAUUUGAUCAUACAAUAAUUUUAGUCUUAUAUAUACUUAAAAAACACAUAACUAAAAAGUUUUGAUU
rnacentral:lncRNA from 1 species